rnacentral:rRNA from 1 species
CAGCCGCCGCGGUAAUACAGAGGGUGCAAGCGUUAAUCGGAUUUACUGGGCGUAAAGGGCGCGUAGGUGGUUAUGUAAGUGAGAAGUGAAAUCCCCGGGCUCAACCUGGGAACUGCAUCUUAUACUGCGUAGCUGGAGUGCAGUAGAGGGUAGUGGAAUUUCCGGUGUAGCGGUGAAAUGCGUAGAUAUCGGAAGGAACACCUGUGGCGAAAGCGGCUCACUGGACCAUAACUGACGCUGAGGCGCGAAAGCUAGGGGAGCAAACAGGAUUAGAUACCCCGAGUAGUCCCUGUCUCUUAUA